rnacentral:rRNA from 1 species
UGCGUAGGGAGCAAGCGUUGUUCGGAUUUACUGGGCGUAAAGGGUGCGUAGGCGGGUCUUUAAGUCAGGGGUGAAAUCCUGGAGCUCAACUCCAGAACUGCCUUUGAUACUGAAGAUCUUGAGUUCGGGAGAGGUGAGUGGAACUGCGAGUGUAGAGGUGAAAUUCGUAGAUAUUCGCAAGAACACCAGUGGCGAAGGCGGCUCACUGGCCCGAUACUGACGCUGAGGCACGAAAGCGUGGGGAGCAAACAGG